AGGUUGGGAAGCGGUUCCUUCCCUCCCCCCACUUUUUUUCUUUUUUUUUUUAAUGUGGGCCAAGGUGUCGUGAGGAGAAAAAAACUAGAAACCGACUCAAUUUUAGUUUCGUGUAAGUUCGGCAAGAGGCAGACAGCUAGCAAUGCUGGCUAUUGGGAUACAGUGCCGCAGAAAAGAAAUCGUCCCUGUUUUUGAGGGGAAAGUGUAAACUUUUCAUCUCUUUUCACCCUUGCGUACAGUUAUUUCGACAGAAGGCUGUGCAUGUGGGGAAAUACUGUUUCUAGUACACAUUAAGAGUUUUGACAAAAUCCAGAAAGAUAAUAAAUUGGGGCCAGACAAGUUAAUUAACAUAAAUGGAUUCUGAUGAAGAUUUGGAGGCAUCACUAGAUAAGAGUGAG